UACGAAGGGGGCUAGCGUUGCUCGGAAUUACUGGGCGUAAAGGGCGCGUAGGCGGCUUUAUAAGUCGGGGGUGAAAGCCUGUGGCUCAACCACAGAAUUGCCUUCGAUACUGUAUGGCUUGAGACCGGAAGAGGUAAGUGGAACUGCGAGUGUAGAGGUGAAAUUCGUAGAUAUUCGCAAGAACACCAGUGGCGAAGGCGGCUUACUGGUCCGGUUCUGACGCUGAGGCGCGAAAGCUAGGGGAGCAAACGGG
rnacentral:rRNA from 1 species